rnacentral:rRNA from 1 species
GAGUUUGAUCUUGGCUCAGGAUGAACGCCGGCGGUGUGCCUAAUACAUGCAAGUCGUACGCACUGGCCCAACUGAUUGAUGGUGCUUGCACCUGAUUGACGAUGGAUCACCAGUGAGUGGCGGACGGGUGAGUAACACGUAGGUAACCUGCCCCGGAGCGGGGAGUAACAUUUGGUAAACAGAUGCUAAUACCGCAUAACAACAAAGGCCACAUGGCUUUGUUUGUAAGAUGGCUUUGGUCCAUCACUCUGGGAUGGACCUGCGGUGCAUUAGCUAGUUGGUAAGGUAACGGCUUACCAAGGCGAUGAUGCAUAGCCGAGUUGAGAGACUGAUCGGCCACAAUGGAACUGAGACACGGUCCAUACUCCUACGGGAGGCAGCAGUAGGGAAUCUUCCACAAUGGGCGCAAGCCUGAUGGAGCAACACCGCGUGAGUGAAGAAGGGUUUCGGCUCGUAAAGCUCUGUUGUUGGAGAAGAACGUGCGUGAGAGU